GAAGGCGGGCUGAGCCCGGCGCCGGGAGGAGUGGUCUAAACUCCACCGCGGCUUUCGCAUCGGAGACGUGUCUUUAGGAAGCAGAGAGGGUUCGAUUCUGGACUCCGCCCAUGACUCACUUCUCUUGUAAAGAAAGAGUUGUCCUUCCUGGUACUCCAGGUUUAUGGGAUGCAGGAUAAUGGAGCAUGCUCUAUCUGGGACAUUGCUAGUCUUAUGACAGAGGGAGAAGACAGCGAUGAGUUUUCGAAGAACUCCAGGAAGUGGCUGCAGAGCAAAGUAGGAUCCUGAUACUGAGCUCAAGUGAUUCAGAAUGAAAAGACCUUGGCACAGACCUGUUAAGGAAGCUCCAUAUAAGGUGAAGAAAACAACAUGCUCAGCCAUGUCCUUGCCUUCUGCACACGGUAGUGCAUUCACUGCCUGAGAAUUCAAGGCUAAAACAAAAAGAGGAGCUUUUGUUCCAACAGAUAAGUACUUACCUUUUUCAAAAAAUGCAUAAGCUGUCCUGGGUGUU
rnacentral:lncRNA from 1 species